rnacentral:rRNA from 1 species
UGGGGAAUAUUGGACAAUGGAGGCAACUCUGAUCCAGCAAUUCUGUGUGUGUGAAGAAGGUUUUAGGACUGUAAAACAUUUUUAGUAGGGAAGAAAGAAAUGACGGUACCUACAGAAGAAGCGACGGCUAAAUACGUGCCAGCAGCCGCGGUAAUACGUAUGUCGCGAGCGUUAUCCGGAAUUAUUGGGCUUAAAGGGCAUCUAGGCGGUUAAACAAGUUGAAAGUGAAAACCUGUGGCUCAACCAUAGGCUUGCCUACAAAACUGUAUAACUAGAGUACUGGAAAGGUGGGUGGAACUACACGAGUAGAGGUGAAAUUCGUAGAUAUGUGUAGGAAUGCCGAUGAUGAAGAUAACUCACUGGACAGCAACAGACGCUGAAGUGCGAAAGCUAGGGGAGCAAACAGG